UAGGGAAUCUUCGGCAAUGGGGGGAACCCUGACCGAGCAACGCCGCGUGAGUGAAGAAGGUUUUCGGAUCGUAAAGCUCUGUUGUUAAGGAAGAACGAGUGUGAGAAUGGAAAGUUCAUACUGUGACGGUACUUAACCAGAAAGUGACGGCUAACUACGUGUCAGCAGCCGCGGUAAUACGUAGGUCCCGAGCGUCGUCCGUAUUUAUUGGGCGUAAAGCGAGCGCAGGCGGUUAGAUAAGUCUGAAGUUAAAGGCAGUGGCUCAACCAUUGUAGGCUUUGGAAACUGUUUAACUUGAGUGCAGAAGGGGAGAGUGGAAUUCCAUGUGUAGCGGUGAAAUGCGUAGAUAUAUGGAGGAACACCGGUGGCGAAAGCGGCUCUCUGGUCUGUAACUGACGCUGAGGCUCGAAAGCGUGGGUAGCAAACAGG
rnacentral:rRNA from 1 species